AGUGAACGCUGGCGGUAGGCCUAACACAUGCAAGUCGAACGGCAGCACAGGAGAGCUUGCUCUCUGGGUGGCGAGUGGCGGACGGGUGAGGAAUACAUCGGAAUCUACUCUGUCGGGGGGGAUAACGUAGGGAAACUUACGCUAAUACCGCAUACGACCUAAGGGUGAAAGCAGGGGAUCCUCGGACCUUGCGCGAUUGCAUGAGCCGAUGUCGGAUUAGCUAGUUGGCGGGGUAAAGGCCCAACAAGGCGACGAUCCGUAGCUGGUCUGAGAGGAUGAUCAGCCACACUGGAACUGAGACACGGUCCAGACUCCUACGGGAGGCAGCAGUGGGGAAUAUUGGACAAUGGGCGCAAGCCUGAUCCAGCCAUACCGCGUGGGUGAAGAAGGCCUUCGGGUUGUAAAGCCCUUUUGUUGGGAAAGAAAUCCAGCUGGCUAAUACCCGGUUGGGAUGACGGUACCCAAAGAAUAAGCACCGGCUAACUUCGUGCCAGCCGCCGCGGUAA
rnacentral:rRNA from 1 species